GCCCUCAUCGUCUAGUCCGGCCAAGGAUUCUGGACUCUCAAUCCAGAGACCCGGGUUCGAAUCCCGGUGGGGGCA
rnacentral:tRNA from 1 species